ensembl:snRNA U2 U2 spliceosomal RNA
UUUGCUUCUCUGCCUUUUGGCUAAGAUCAAGUUCUUAUCAGUUAAAUAUCUGAUACAUCCCCCACAUGGGCAGUGGUGGCCUAGCGGUU